CUUUUCUUUUCUUUUCUUUCCUUCUCUCUUUUCCCAAAGUCUUUCCCGGUCUGGAAACUCAGCGCUGUGGGGAGGGCAGAAGGGCUGCGCAGAGACGCAUAGGGGGUGAGGGGAGGGGGACGCAGCCUCCGAGGGACGCUGUGAGUCCACACAUCUGCCCGGACCGCGGGCGCAGCGUCCAGGUUUAUGGGGAGCCGCAAGCUCGGCCCCUCCCCGUUCGCUCAGCGACUCCGGGAAAAAGCUGGGAAAACCCAAAGCGUGCGGGGUCCUAAGCGGGGCUGCCCGCCUCUCCACGGCACGGCCCCUGCGGUGCGAUGCUCAGCCCCGACCCGCAGCCCCCAGCACCCAUCCGGCCCCAUGCGGGUAGCGAGAGGGCGAAGGAGAGCUGCAGAAACUUGUUGGGACGUCUCCAGUGUUAAGCAGGCCACUGCAGGGCGUGCUGAUAAUUGUGGUCUGCAUCCAUGAGGGAUCAGGACAGCACUGUGCAUGGCACGCACCUCUCUCCUCAACCUUCCUUACGGCAGGACUUGGCACAGGACAGGGGGCUUGGAAGCACACACUGCUCACAGCACACAGCAGAUCCAGAGGAGGAGACAUCUGACCCGACGGGGGCAGCGGGGGCCUUGCAAAUCACAGCGCCUCACUCCCGGCUCUCAGAUGUUUAAGGGUUUCCGCUCUCUGCAGCCAACGUGUGAUGCGUUGGCUUUUUUUCCCCUUUAUUGGCGUGAUGAAAGAGCUGAGGCAAGUCUGGAAAAGGAGCACGCGGUCCUGAGAAAGGAGAGAGCUUGUUAUUUUGUCUAGAGGGGGAGAAGGGAUCACAGGGCGGUGUGGGGCUGAGUUGAGUUGAAAGCAGCGCUCUCCUGUGAGCUGCUCUGCAAAGGGAAAAGCUCAGAGGCGCUCCGCUGCUGGGAGAGGGGCGUCAACAGAGCUUCCGAACGCACCAUCCUUUGCUCCCUGGAAGCUGGAAUCGAGGGAGGAGAAAACAGCAAAUUGACAUUGACUCCUGCUUAUGCAACCCUCGUCGUUGCCCGAACAGCAAGGGUGGUUACAGCAGCGGGGAGCAGCGUGCUAUCGGGGCAGGGCGCAGUCCCCGCAGCACAGCAGCAGUCCCUCUGGCAGGAGCUCAGCAGCACCGCUGGAUGUUGUUCAAAUGGCCCUUUCCAAUACCCUGCCCGUGUUUCUGCCAGUUGCUCAGUUGAAAAUAAUCAUCAUUAUCAUAAAAACGCACUUAGAGGCCAUCGCACAAUAUUAGAGCCUUCUCUAAUGUAAACCAUCGCCUCUCACAGCGCAUGCCGGGCUUGGCCGGGGUUUGUUCCUAAUGCUGCUGCUCCCCUUGCUCCUCUCCCGGCCGCCUGGCACCACCAAAACAAGUAAAAUCCUUACAUAAGAAUCAGCUUGUCUCAGGGUAAGGAAUUCUUCUUCUGUUCUUCAACCCCGGUGAUACAUCUCAAUGACUGCAGGUUCUCUUCUGAAAUCAGUUAAACAUUCCUGCUCACAUCUCUUUUUCUCUGGCAGACCCCAACCCAUCGGCCCCACUCCCUCACAGUAUCCCUCCCUUCUCCCAGCUCUGUGCACUGCUGCUCGUCGCCUUCUCCUUCCCUCCCCUCUGUAAUGACUGGCAUGCUCACACUGAAGAGCUGAUGAGCUGGAUAGGAGCCUAUGGGUUUGGUGUGGCUCCUUCCUUCCAUGCCUUACAGCAAGCUUUCCACUCCACUUGGCUGCUCUCCCUCCUGCCCCAGGCAUGGAUUUCCAGACCCCAAAUCCAGCCCUGCACAAGCCAGGCUCUCCCUUGUAGCCCAUGAUGGUGCUGGAGAUGUCCCAACUGACACGACUUGGAGAUGUCCCACCCACACAUCACUGUGGGCGCAUGGUGCAAGGGCAGCAGGCUUUGAAGGAGGGAUGGGUUAUGGGUAAGGAACCCACCUGCAUAGGGCAGCUUUGGUUGGGAAGGAGGAUGCUGUGGGUAGGUGGUUUGUGCCUUGUCCCAUCCAUUCUCAUGGUUAAAGUUCCUUGGGUGGAUUUUGCUUUGACCUUCAUCCUGCCAGAAGGUCAAACUUCAUUUACAAUAACAACAAUAAUAAUGACAAACAGCAGUUCCCUGGCCUCCGAACCCCUUUGAAGCAGAGAAGGACCCAAAGGGGCAGAAGGAAAGAUUUAAGCAUUUAACAUAGCUGCUUUCUGGCCCUGCUGCAGUGUGAC
rnacentral:lncRNA from 1 species